GAACAGCCGGCGACCGUGUGGAGAUUCAUAUCUGCAGCAGUCAGAGCAAGCUGGAGAGCUCUCUCGUCAUCGCGAGAUGAAGAGUAGAAUUUACAGCUAACCAGAGACCAAGUAUUGUGGCGUGUUACUGACAUGAGACAGAACAGCAGGAAGCAAAGACUUCCCACUUCCAGGUGAAUGGUCACGCCAGGAGUCGGUAUCGGUAGAUUGAGAACGUCGACAAUCGGGAGCUGAGCCGGGUCCCGGGUUCGAAAGAUAAGAACG